AGCAAGCCAGUAAUUAGUAUUAGGCUCUUUUCGCCGAGGGAUCGGGUUAAGGGUAGGCUAAGAAAGUUGCAUGACAAUUAAUUAAUCAAAUUAAUAAUUAAAGAAGAGUAGAUAAAAGAGAGAGGAUUAGAUGAAAUUGUAAACCCCCAACAACUCCAUUCAUCCAUUGUUUUCUUUUGUCAAUUGAAUCAAUCUCUUUUGCAUGUUAAUAUUUUUGUUCUCAAAUCAAAUUAAUUAUUUUUAUUUUCAUGUCUUAUUAUUUUAAUUCACGUGAACGAGAAAGCCUUUUGAGUCUCUUGGGAAAAACGAUAUUGGGUUUUACCAAUUAUAUUACUUGAACGAUUUGGUACACUUGCCAAUCCGUUAACAUUCACCACAUAUACUCUCUGCUCGACGCGUAGCUCAUUUCCUCCAUCAGGCGCUUACAUUAGCUUCCCAAGCCACAACUUCAAUUUCCUCUCGCGCUUCAUACACACCAAUUCAUUUUCACAUUUUCUCCUUUCGCAGAAACCUAGUCUCAGCUAGGUUUUCUUCUCCUCAAGCACAUCAUCACCACAGAUCUGUCGCCUCUCCUUCAUAAGCAUUAAUUUUCUUCACAUAUUCAUUCUCUUCCACCAUUUGCUAGGUUUUUCCACCGAUUGAAAACUUCUGUUCACUAUUUCCACCAUCUUUCACUGUUUGUUCCGCCUUUUAUUCUGAUUAAAAGCCUUUUCACCGAUCAUUCUUCCUUUCUCACCAUGCAAUAGUUGUUUUGAACCGAUUAAUCAGUUCAAUCAAUGUCUUCUACUUGUUCUAGGGUUUUCUUCGUGUCUGAUUAGUGUUUCAACCAUUCACAUCUGUUUUCUCUCG
rnacentral:lncRNA from 1 species